CUACCUGUGCGGGUGCUUACACAUGCAAGUCGAACGGUGAAGCCAAGCUUGCUUGGUGGAUCAGUGGCGAACGGGUGAGUAACACGUGAGCAACCUGCCCUGGACUCUGGGAUAAGCGCUGGAAACGGCGUCUAAUACUGGAUAUGAGACGUGAUCGCAUGGUCGUGUUUGGAAAGAUUUUUCGGUCUGGGAUGGGCUCGCGGCCUAUCAGCUUGUUGGUGAGGUAAUGGCUCACCAAGGCGUCGACGGGUAGCCGGCCUGAGAGGGUGACCGGCCACACUGGGACUGAGACACGGCCCAGACUCCUACGGGAGGCAGCAGUGGGGAAUAUUGCACAAUGGGCGAAAGCCUGAUGCAGCAACGCCGCGUGAGGGAUGACGGCCUUCGGGUUGUAAACCUCUUUUAGCAGGGAAGAAGCGAAAGUGACGGUACCUGCAGAAAAAGCGCCGGCUAACUACGUGCCAGCAGCCGCGGUAAUACGUAGGGCGCAAGCGUUAUCCGGAAUUAUUGGGCGUAAAGAGCUCGUAGGCGGUUUGUCGCGUCUGCUGUGAAAUCCCGAGGCUCAACCUCGGGCCUGCAGUGGGUACGGGCAGACUAGAGUGCGGUAGGGGAGAUUGGAAUUCCUGGUGUAGCGGUGGAAUGCGCAGAUAUCAGGAGGAACACCGAUGGCGAAGGCAGAUCUCUGGGCCGUAACUGACGCUGAGGAGCGAAAGGGUGGGGAGCAAACAGGCUUAGAUACCCUGGUAGUCCACCCCGUAAACGUUGGGAACUAGUUGUGGGGACCAUUCCACGGUUUCCGUGACGCAGCUAACGCAUUAAGUUCCCCGCCUGGGGAGUACGGCCGCAAGGCUAAAACUCAAAGGAAUUGACGGGGACCCGCACAAGCGGCGGAGCAUGCGGAUUAAUUCGAUGCAACGCGAAGAACCUUACCAAGGCUUGACAUAUACGAGAACGGGCCAGAAAUGGUCAACUCUUUGGACACUCGUAAAACAGGUGGUGC
rnacentral:rRNA from 1 species